rnacentral:rRNA from 1 species
CCUACGGGAGGCAGCAGUGAGGAAUAUUGGUCAAUUGACGAGAGUCUGAACCAGCCAAGUAGCGUGAAGGAUGACUGCCCUAUGGGUUGUAAACUUCUUUUAUAAAGGAAUAAAACGAGGCACGUGUGCCUGUUUGCAUGUACUUUAUGAAUAAGGAACGGCUAACUCCGUGCCAGCAGCCGCGGUAAUACGGAGGAUCCGAGCGUUAUCCGGAUUUAUUGGGUUUAAAGGGAGCGUAGAUGGGUUGUUAAGUCAGUUGUGAAAGUUUGCGGCUCAACCGUAAAAUUGCAAUUGAUACUGGCAGUCUUGAGUACAGUUGAGGUAAGCGGAAUUCGUGGUGUAGCGGUGAAAUGCUUAGAUAUCACGAAGAACCCCGAUUGCGAAGGCAGCUUACUAAACUGUGACUGACAUUGAUGCUCGAAAGUGUGGGUAUCAAACAGGAUUAGAUACCCCUGUAGUC